UACGUAGGGUGCGAGCGUUAAUCGGAAUUACUGGGCGUAAAGCGUGCGCAGGCGGCGCGUUAAGACAGGUGUGAAAGCCCCCGAGCUUAACUUGGGAAUUGCGCUUGUGACUGGCGUGCUGGAGUGUGGCAGAGGGAGGUGGAAUUCCACGUGUAGCAGUGAAAUGCGUAGAGAUGUGGAGGAAUACCGAUGGCGAAGGCAGCCCCCUGGGAUAACACUGACGCCUCAUGCACGAAAGCGUGGGGAGCAAACAGG
rnacentral:rRNA from 1 species